CAUUACUGAGUGAGGGCCUUCUGGUCCGACCUCCAACCCCAUGUUAUCCGACACUGUUGCCUCCGGGGCGACCCGGCCUUCGGGCGUCGGGGCCCCGGGUGGACCAUUCAAACACUGCAUCUUUGCGUCUGAGUACACGAUUGAUCAAUCAAAACUUUCAACAACGGAUCUCUUGGUUCUGGCAUCGAUGAAGAACGCAGCGAAAUGCGAUAAGUAAUGUGAAUUGCAGAAUUCAGUGAAUCAUCGAAUCUUUGAACGCACAUUGCGCCCCUUGGUAUUCCGAGGGGCAUGCCUGUUCGAGCGUCAUUUCACCACUCAAGCCUGGCUUGGUAUUGGGCGCCGCGGUCCGCCGCGCGCCUUAAUGUGUCCGGCUGAGCCGUCCGUCUCUAAGCGUUGUGGCAACCUAUCCGCUUGCGAGAUCGGGGGGCGUCUGGCCGUUAAACUCAUCCAAAGGUUGACCUCGGAUCAGGUAGGGAUACCCGCUGAACUUAA
rnacentral:rRNA from 1 species